ACACAUGCAAGUCGAGGGGCAUCAGGGCAUUAGCUUGCUAAUGCCGCUGGCGACCGGCGCACGGGUGAGUAACACGUAUCCAACCUGCCUUCAACUCAGGGAUAGCCUUUCGAAAGAAAGAUUAAUACCUGAUAGUAUGUAUUUUCCGCAUGGUUUUUACAUUAGAGGUUUCCGGUUGAAGAUGGGGAUGCGUUCCAUUAGAUAGUUGGCGGGGUAACGGCCCACCAAGUCCACGAUGGAUAGGGGUUCUGAGAGGAAGGUCCCCCACAUUGGAACUGAGACACGGUCCAAACUCCUACGGGAGGCAGCAGUGAGGAAUAUUGGUCAAUGGGCGCCAGCCUGAACCAGCCAAGUAGCGUGAAGGAUGACUGCCCUAUGGGUUGUAAACUUCUUUUAUACGGGAAUAAAGUUUGGCACGUGUGCCUUUUUGCAUGUACCGUAUGAAUAAGGAUCGGCUAACUCCGUGCCAGCAGCCGCGGUAAUACGGAGGAUCCGAGCGUUAUCCGGAUUUAUUGGGUUUAAAGGGAGCGUAGGCGGAUGCUUAAGUCAGUUGUGAAAGUUUGCGGCUCAACCGUAAAAUUGCAGUUGAUACUGGGUGUCUUGAGUGCAGUAUAGGCAGGCGGAAUUCGUGGUGUAGCGGUGAAAUGCUUAGAUAUCACGAAGAACUCCGAUUGCGAAGGCAGCUCACUGGAGCGCAACUGACGCUGAAGCUCGAAAGUGCGGGUAUCGAACAGGAUUAGAUACCCUGGUAGUCCGCACGGUAAACGAUGGAUGCCCGCUGUUGGUCUGAAUAGGUCAGCGGCCAAGCGAAAGCAUUAAGCAUCCCACCUGGGGAGUACGCCGGCAACGGUGAAACUCAAAGGAAUUGACGGGGGCCCGCACAAGCGGAGGAACAUGUGGUUUAAUUCGAUGAUACGCGAGGAACCUUACCCGG
rnacentral:rRNA from 1 species